AUUGAACGCUGGCGGCAUGCUUUACACAUGCAAGUCGAACGGUAACAGGUUAAGCUGACGAGUGGCGAACGGGUGAGUAAUGCAUCGGAACGUGCCCGAUCGUGGGGGAUAACGCAGCGAAAGCUGCGCUAAUACCGCAUACGAUCUGAGGAUGAAAGCGGGGGACCGUAAGGCCUCGCGCGAUCGGAGCGGCCGAUGUCAGAUUAGAUAGUUGGUGGGGUAAAGGCUCACCAAGCCGACGAUCUGUAGCUGGUCUGAGAGGACGACCAGCCACACUGGGACUGAGACACGGCCCAGACUCCUACGGGAGGCAGCAGUAGGGAAUUUUGGACAAUGGGCGAAAGCCUGAUCCAGCAAUGCAGCGUGCAGGAAGAAGGCCUUCGGGUUGUAAACUGCUUUUGUACGGAGCGAAAAGGCUCUCUCUAAUACAGGGGGCUCAUGACGGUACCGUAAGAAUAAGCACCGGCUAACUACGUGCCAGCCGCCGCAGUAA
rnacentral:rRNA from 1 species